AGUGAACGCUGGCGGUAGGCCUAACACAUGCAAGUCGAACGGCAGCACAGUAAGAGCUUGCUAUUACGGGUGGCGAGUGGCGGACGGGUGAGGAAUACAUCGGAAUCUACUUUUUCGUGGGGGACAACGUAGGGAAACUUACGCUAAUACCGCAUACCACCUAAGAGAGAAAGCAGGGGAGAUUCGGACCAUGCGCGAUUGAAUAAGCCGAUGUCGGAUUAGCUAGUUGGCGGGGUAAAGGCCCACCAAGGCGACGUUCCGUAGCUGGUCUGAGAGGAUGAUCAGCCACACUGGAACUGAGACACGGUCCAGACUCCUACGGGAGGCAGCAGUGGGGAAUAUUGGACAAUGGGCGCAAGCCUGAUCCAGCCAUACCGCGUGGGUGAAGAAGGCCUUCGGGUUGUAAAGCCCUUUUGUUGGGAAAGAAAAGCAGCAGGUUAAUACCCCGCUGUUCUGACGGUACCCAAAGAAUAAGCACCGGCUAACUACGUG
rnacentral:rRNA from 1 species